GCAGAGCAAGAAGCUGUCAACGAUGGCUUCCGCCGCGCUGCCGGAGGCCGUCGAGCCCAAGAAGAAGGGCAACACCAGGUUCGCCUUCGCCUGCGCCAUCCUCGCCUCCAUGACCUCCAUCCUCCUCGGCUAUGGUACGAACACAAACUCACUUCCCUCAUGACCCGUGUCUUUUGUUUGCCGUGUAGUAGUACGGAAUCUCCCUUUUGUUUUGGUUAGAUUUUGCCUUUUGCAUGGGCUCAUCCGCUCAUACCGGACUUUGCUUUGCAGAUAUCGGGGUGAUGAGCGGGGCGUCGCUGUACAUCCAGAAGGACCUCAAGAUCACCGACAAGGAGCUGGAGGUCCUCAUGGGCAUCCUGAACGUGUACUCCCUCAUCGGCUCCUUCGCAGCGGGGCGCACGUCCGACUGGAUUGGCCGCCGCUACACCAUCGUCUUCGCGGCGGCCAUCUUCUUCGCGGGCGCCUUCCUCAUGGGCUUCGCCGUCAACUACGGGAUGCUCAUGUUCGGCCGCUUCGUGGCCGGCGUCGGCGUCGGCUACGCGCUCAUGAUCGCGCCCGUGUACACCGCGGAGGUGUCCCCCGCGUCGGCCCGCGGCUUCCUGACCUCAUUCCCGGAGGUGUUCAUCAACUUCGGCAUCCUCCUCGGCUACGUGUCCAACUACGCCUUCUCCCGCCUCCCGCUCAAACUCGGCUGGCGCGUCAUGCUCGGCAUCGGCGCGGCGCCGUCCGUCGU
rnacentral:lncRNA from 1 species